rnacentral:ncRNA from 2 species
ACAAUUCGACCAGGGACAGGUGCCAUACAAGCCUGACAGGGAAGACGGUGUAAAUCCGUCGCGGUCCCGCCGCUGUAACCGGUGACGAUGGCCACACAAUGCCACUUUUCGCGCGUGAAAGGGAAGGCGUGGCCGGCAGGAUGAUCCGGAAGCCAGAAGACCUGCCUGUCCCGCACAGGUGCU